GGAGCCGGGGGACUGGAAGGGUCUGGGCGAAGGGGGUCACGGCCUGGGGGACGCAGCGGGCAGUCCUCGGAGUCCAGGACUGCCAGCACCUGCUGAGCGCGGCUUGAAGACCCCUGACGGUACGGCGUUGCGGCGCCAAGGGCUGCGUCCCGCUCUCGGGUUCCCGCCGGAGAGGGUGGGAACCCCCUUCCAAGCCCCCCACCCCUUGUUUCUCUCCUCCUCUGUUUAGCCCAGAACCGAGCUGAGGACGAGAGGGAACCAUCUGCAAAAAAAGAACCCCAAAGCAGGGCGGGUGGGGGGGGCAGAUCCAGACCAGCGGAGACCCCAGCAAGCUGGUUCACUGUGGACCAACUCUGCGCCUGUGCGGGCAUCCCCAGUGCUUCUAGAAUGGGGGCGCCCAAGGAAGAAGGCAGGCUGUGAGAAUCUGGGUACCACCAAGGCGGUCUCAAGGAGAAGCGCGGGGGCUGGGGAACGGGAGGAUUAAAGCCAGCAUCCACUCUGGGAAAGGAGCGGGCACCGAAGAAGGAGGGAAAAAAAAAAAUCUCCUUGACGCUGUCACCUCCAGGGACCUAAGGUGGCCUCUUGCUCACCUUGGAGAAUAACAAUCUCUGAUGUCUGGCAAUAACAGAAAUGCUUCCAGAGGUCUUCUUUCGUCCAUCCUGACAAUGACCAGGGAAGAUUUCUCACCCACUCUGACAGCCUCCGAGCAAGGUCCCUGCUGGGCAACACUGAUGAAGUCCGUGCCGCGCUGGACCUGAUGGGGAUAAAAUGAUGGUUCUCUUCAAAAACUCUCGUUCAGGGAGUCCCCAUCGUGGCGCAGCGGAAACGAAUCCGACUAGGAACCAUGAGGUUGUGGGUUCGAUCCCUGGCCUCGCUCAGUGGGUUAAGGUCCAGCGUUGCCGUGAGCUGUGGGGAGCUCAGAUCUGGCGUGGCUGUGGCAGUGGCUGUGGCUGUGGUGCAGGCUGGCAGGUGCAAAUCCAAUUCAACCCUUGGCCUGGGAACUUCAAUAUGCCGUGGGUGCAGC
rnacentral:lncRNA from 1 species